rnacentral:lncRNA from 1 species
AUUACCGUGAAGAUACUGUAAAUAUCCCCCUCCAGGACUUGCUUUGGUGUGGAAGUGAUUCCGCUGUGAGUUGUGUCUUUUGCGUUGUUGCACUCUUCAUCAUAUUCAUCCGCAGGACCUCCAGCUCUAAAGGGUGUGAAGAGGAUACUGACCCACCAGAAAGAGACCCCACUGCUAGAACGAAUAAGAUGUGCUGAAAGCCGGAGCAUAACUUGGCCAUUCCAAGAUUUAACGACAAACUAACUACCCAUCAUUAACACUAAAGAAAGAAAACAAUCAGUAAGAGAUUAUAUAGACCUAAGAGAUGUUACAGACCGAAGAAGAACCUAUGGAGGAAGACAGGAAGGUGAGAGAGAUUUGAAGAUGGUAUGUGGCUGAAUUUGAAGAUAGAGAAAGGAACCGCAAGCAAAGAAUGCAAGAGGUCUCUAGAAGCUGGAAAAGGCAAGGAAAGAGUCUCCCCUCAAGCUCCAGCAGGAAUGCAGUCCUGACACCUUGAGUUUAGCCUAGUGAGACUUCUGACCUCCAGAACUAGAAGAUACAAGUGGUGUUUUAAGGCACUAAAACGAAGAACUAGAAGUGUUGUUUUAAGCCCAUAAAUUUGUGAUAAUCUGUUACAGUAGUAAUAGGCAAUGCAUACGCAAGCACACAAAGUAAAAUUUUUCUGUGGUUAUUUUCCAUAUUUUUUCAGUUAUUUUCUGCCUUUUGAAGACAUUAAAGACAUAAAAUGAAUAUAUAUUAGUUUAGGAAUAAAAUUUAAAAUGUAGGAAUGCUAUAAAAGAAGAAAAAAUUUUAACUGGGCUAAAGCGAACCCAGUAUGUCAUCCUAUUACAUCAGCUUCUUCAUCUUUGGAUGAAGAGGUUGGUGGCUGUUUCUUCUAAUGUGAGAAUAGCUCCAAAUUGCUAAAUUGUUCAGAAUUUGACAAGAUGAAAGAGGAAAGAAAAAGGAAAUCUUGAAAACAUUUACUGUUUCCUUGUUCAAUGGAUAACAUGUGGGUUCCUGAUUGGGAGAUUUUUCCUCUUGCUUUGAUCUGAAGGCAGAAGGAAAUAUAUUCAUUAUUGUUUAAAAGAAUACAUUUUAACCUAACUUUAAAACAUUCAUGAUAUAUGGGUGAACCAGAAUCUUAUUACCCCA